AACCCCGCCCUCCAUCUCUAACCCCUCCCCUGUACCAUGUCACCCUUAGUGGGCCACCAGCAGUUUGCAUGUAAAUGAUGAUCAGAAAAUAGAUCCGUAAAACAUGUUAUUUAUCAGUAGAGAGGAGCUUCCUGUUUCGAUCUCACUAUGGGAACAGAAGAGACUUUUUUGAUUGGAUGAUGAGACAACAUUUGUUUACUAGGGAAGUUAAACAGCCUGGCGUCCGUCUGACUGACCCCCCCCCCCCAGGUCAACUAGUUUGACCCCUGAACUUUAGGCGUCUCCAGCUAUAGAAUCUCCUGUCUUAUUUAUAAUUGAUUUAGAGACGGGUGCUUUUCUCUAUUACCACAGUAGUCAAUACGAUUUGGUAGAAAAUAUUUAUAAUAUUUGAAGAGUUUUGGACAGAUGAAUUUGGAUCCUCAGAUAUUUGUGUGUGUUUUUUUUUAAUGAGGAAUCGUUUUUUGGACUAUUUGCAUGUUGCUGAGAAAAAUAUAUAUAUUUAAAAAUAUAUUUAAAAAUAUAUUUAAAAAAUGUUUUUUUUUUUUUUUUACAUUCUUUUGAUAAAUUAAAAUUUCCAGAUGUUUCCGAUGUUUGUAGACUGUCUAACUAAAUGUACCGGGCUCAGUUUGGUUUGUACGAGGGCUGUAAUACCGAUUUAAACAUGAUUUAUUAUUGUCCGAUAUAAAAUGUGCUGGUUGGCUAGGUGUGUAUCUACUGAGACCGUUGGUCCGAUACUGUCCAAGCUGUCACAGAGAGGGGAACCAUGGAAACAGGUUCUGGGUGCUGUUUAUCUCAGAAUACCCAGGAGUCAGAUGUUGAGCGCUUGACUUUCCUCCCGUUGCUCCCCACCUGAUCAAUCCACUCGUUACCAAAGCCUACAAGUUAUUUCCAGAGAACCUGAUGUAUAUUAUAACUCAGUAUGAACCCUAAUAAAGCUUUAUACCUGAUGGAUGAUGAUGAUGAUGGAUCUCUGGCAUUGAGGUGAAUCUGUUGCUCCGAUCUGAUAAAAGACUCAUUAUAAAAGAGACUGAGUGUUUUUAAAAACCGCACCAGCAUGCUUCAGGACGUUCUAGAAUCAGGCUUCAGGAUGUUCUAGAACCAGGCUUGAGGAUGUUGUAGAACCAGGCUUCAGGAUGUUCUAGAACCAGACUUCAGGAUGUUGUAGAACCAGGCUUCAGGACGUUCUAGAACCAGGCUUCAGGAUGUUGUAGAACCAGGCUUCAGGACGUUCUAGAACCAGGCUUCAGGAUGUUCUAGAACCAGGCUUCAGGAAGUUCUAGAACCAGGCUUCAGGAAGUUCUAGAACCAGGCUUCAGGACGUUCUAGAACCAGGCUUCAGGACGUUUAAGCUGUGAUGGAACCUGACCUUCAAUCUAUCAGAAACCUUGUCGUUUUAACUCUUGAGAGACUGGAGGAAGAGGAGGAGGAGGAGGAAGAGGAGGAAGAGAAGGGUGUGUUUUCUAGCUGUCAAUAGACAAGCUAACUGUCUGCAAUAAUUUCCCUCUGAUGCUCCCAGAACUGAGAGAGAGGGUUUCCAAGGCUGGUAUACAACUGUACUUUUGAC
rnacentral:lncRNA from 1 species